rnacentral:lncRNA from 1 species
UCUGAAUUUCCAGUUUGUGAAACUCAACUUCAAUGGUUUUGGCUAUUUUGGCAUCAUCCGGGUCUGGCUCUGGUAUGUCUACAUAGAAAGAUCCUUGUCUCAUCAGCGGUGUUGAUUCCGCAUAGUUAGCUUGCUGCUUUAUGUCGUUAUAGAGUUAUUGAUGGAAUGCGUGAUUGAAGGAGAAAUAGUUUUCGAUAAUUGCUGCAACUGCAUUAUGUCUCGAUGGCUUGGAAUCUUGUUUUUUGCAGAAGUGUGGGAGAGAUCCGUAGUCCAUUACCUUGAGUAAUUCGUCCUUGCCACAACCUUGCAGCACCUGGAUUUUCUCCUUGUUCUUUCUUGCAAAAGAGGCUUACAACCUUCCAACACGCGGAGAAUACAUAUGGUGCAUUAACGAUAUAGUAUGUGUCUGUCCUUUCCGGAUAGUUCAAAGUCAUCUAUCAUAGAUAUAGCUGUCAAUAGCCUUUUGAAGUAUCCAUGCCGGAUUUACAAUUACUCAUGCAUAGUUGGUUAGUUUAUAAGUUCUGUUAGUCAUGGGGAUGCUGGUAACAGUUUGUUGAAUUGCAGGUUAGAGGGGUUUAAUGGAUACUGAGUUCUUAUUGAAUUUCUCAGUUUCACGCGCAGGUUAUACAUACAUUCGACGUAGGUGCGGUUUGAUUGCUACAGGCGGAGGUCACGGUUUCAACGACACUAGUUUGUAUCGACGAUUGUAGCCAUUGCAGCAGGAUGCUCACCGCUGCAAUUGCUGGUGUUCCAAAAUCUGGUGAAGUGCGAUUGCCGUGUGUUUGGCUCAUGAUCGGCAUAUACAAGUGUACGGUGUUUUAUUGGUUCAUGAUGCAAGAACUACUUGGAAAUGCAAGGCUAUGAAUGGACAUUGGUUUCGCUUGUGGAUUGGAAUGCUUGGAAUGCAAUCUUGUAACUUCAGAUACUUUUUGUAAUGUUUAUGUUGACACAUAUGUGGUUUUGGUUUAUAAUUGGAUGUAAUUAGAAUAGAAAUGUGAACAAUUAUGGUUUAUGAAUUGAAAUGCUUAAUUAUGCUCAUAAUUGUUGGAUAUAUUUGUUUGAAAUUGAAAAAUGAAUGUAUGUAUGGUUGAAUUGAAAUUUGAUGGUUAUAGUUAAUAAAAUGGAAAAGUGAAUGUAUGACUUAUGUUGUAAUUGAACUAAUGGUUUAAUACAACAUUGUAUGGUUUGAAGAGAAAUGAGUGUCGAUUACACAUAUUGAAUGAAUUGGUUUAUGUAUGUGUAUGGAUAAAAAUGGUUUAGAAGGUAAAGAAGAAUAGGGUCUAAAAUGAAAAUGAACAAAAUAAAGAUACUUUAUAAUGAGCAUGGUAAAAGUGAACAUGAACAUGAGUUAGAACUUGGAAAGUGUCAAUGGUCAUAUAGUUGAUUUUGGUCAAUUGGUUGACAAAAGUCAACAGGACCAAAAGUCCACUUGGCCAGCAUGGCAAAAUUGUAGUUUUUUUCUUCGUAUUGAUACAUUUGAAUGCGAUAAUGGACUAAGGUUCCAUGGAUCUUAGAUGCAAUGAAAUUAUGAACUAGUAAGAUCCCAUAAAAGAAAUAGCUGAUGCAUUAUGAAAGUAUGAAUAUGAAUGCACCACAAGCAAUGAAUCAAAUGACUAUGCCUAUAAAUGAAAGCAUGAAUAAACUUGGAUGAAACAAAGCAUUAGAUCAAAGUAUCAAGAAACACGUAUCUAGCCCCUAAACCAUGGCCAAGGGAUGAAUCAACCCUCAACGACCAACUAGUCCAAACAUUCAUGAAUUAGGAUUUCCAAGAUCACCCUAAAGCAAGCAAAAAGUCCCAUAAAUAAACUCACACCAGAGUGUCCCACAAAAACUAGGUUUUUAAGAUCAAGUGAAAUAUUAUUAUUAAAGAGCACACUCCACCAACAUAAGUUAAGGUUUAGGCUUGACACACAUGAAUACAAGGUCAAGGACCCAACCACAAACUUUUGAGUCUAUGAGGAUACUUGCAACAUUUGAUAUGAAUAGAUGGUACAUAUGAAAUUGGCAUGAAUGUAUGCAAAUGAACUUUAGGCCAAGUGCCAAUUGAAAAAAAUGAAAAAAUUUCAGGACCAAAAUCGGGGUAUGACAGUUGCCCCUAUUUAAACAUCCUCCACCAGAGGAAAAUGAAACAACAUUUUUCAUCGGAUCGCAGUGGGGGAUGGUUAAAUACCAUGGAGACCCAGAUUUUGAUCCUGAAAAAUGCAAAUGCUAUGAUAUGAUAUACAUGGAUACAAGACUUUUUUUUUAAUUUACCUGUUAGGGACACGGUGAACCCUUAACAGGAGAUGUUACCGGACAGACCAAUCUGUGGGGAAUGCUGAUGGCCCACAGGGAAAUAGACAAAUAAUGUACGACCAAACUCGUUGGGGAUAACAAUCCUGCUGGAGAGUCAGACACACACUGGGGAGUAAUCGAAGUGAAAGUUGACAAACGACACUUAGAACAUCAGAUAUUUUGACAGUAAGCUUACACAUGACUUACUACAACUUGGAUAUUUUGAGAAAAUUUCCACAACAGGCUCAUACAUCACUUGACAACAUUGGAACAAAAGGUUCAGCAACAGGUUCAUACAUGACCUGACAACACUAGAAUAAAGGCUCGACAACAACGAGUUCACACAUGACCUGACAAUGCUGGGGAAUACCAAGAACGGUUCUGACAGCAAGUUCAAACAUGACCUAACGAACUCAGAAAAGUUCAAAAAGAGUAUAUCAACAGUUCAUACAUGACCUGAGAACACUGAAAUAAUCAUAGAGAAAGAUUCUUCAAAACAUGUUCAUACAUGACCUGGUAAUACUGGAAUGAAAGCUCAACAACAGGUUCAUACAUGACCUGACAAUGCUGGGGAAUAUCAAGAACGGUUCUGACAGCAGGUUCAGACAUGACCUAACAAACUCAGAAAAAUUCACAAAGAGUACAUCAACAGGUUCAUACAUGACCUGAUGACCAACUCGAACAUUUUGAGAAAAUUUCCACAACAAGUUCAUACCUGACUUGACAACAUUGGAAUAAAAGGUUCAACAACAUGUUCAUACAUGACCUGACAACACUAGAAUAAUCAAAGAAAAGAUUCUUCGAAAUAGGUUCAGACAUGACCUGGUAAUACUGGAAUAAAGGCUCAACAACAGGUUCAUACAUGACCUGACAAAACAGGAACAUUCAAAGAAUUUUCAACAACAGGUUCAUACAUGACCUGACAACACUUGACUAUUCAAAGAAUUUUCAACAACUGGUUCAAACAUGACCUGACCAUUCUUGAAUAUUCAAAGAAUUUUCAACAACUGGUUCAAACAUGACCUAACCAUUCGAAAUAUUCAAAGAGUUUCGGAACAUACAAGGAAGGUUUGACCAACAGGUCCAUACAUGACUUAAUGACAACUUGAAUAUCAAGGAAACUUUAUUCAACAGGUUCAUACAUAACCUAACAACACUGGAAAAAAAUCAAAGAAUCUCAUCAAUAGGUUCAUACAUGACCUGACCAUUUGGAAUAUUCAAAGAGUUUCAAUAACAGGUUCAAACAUGACCUGAUAAUGUUGGGGGAUAUCAAAAGGUUCCAUCAACAAGUUCAAACAUGACCUGAGAAUACUAGAAAACAUACAAGGCAAGUUUUAUCAAUAGGUCAUACAUGACCUGACAUCGUUGGAAUAUACAAAACAUUUCAAUAACGGGUUCAAUCAUGACUUGACAAUGUCAGGGGACAUCAAAAGAUUUUAUCAACAGGUUCAAACAUGACCUGACAAUACUAGAAAAUAAACAAACAAAAGUUCCAUCAACAGGCUCAAACAUGUCCUGACAACAUUGGAAAAUUCAAGGUGUUUCAACAACAAGUUUAGACAUGACCUGACGAUUCUGGAGAAAGUCAAAGAGUUUAUUAACAGGUUCAGACGUGACCUGACAAACUAGAAAACACAAAGGAAACUUCAACCAUAGGUUCAUACAUGACCUGAAAAUACUGAAAAACGUACAUAUCAAGUUUCAUCAACAGGUUCAUACAUGACCUGACACUUUAUAAUGCAUCUGACAAUUCUGGAGAUUUCUCACAAGAAAUUCAUCCAAUCAAAGAUUUUGGAAAUUCUUAAUAGGGAAAUUAUGCAAAACAAAGAUAAGCAGGAGUCUUCUUAUAAGUAGAUCAUCCGUGCAAAAGGCUAUGAUGAUUCUUUACAAAGAAAUCAAACAAAACCAACAUCAUUGGAGUUUUAAUAGGGAAAUUAUGCAAAACAAAGAUAAGCAGGAGUCUUCUUAUAAGUAGAUCAUCCGUGCAAAAGGCUAUGAUGAUUCUUUACAAAGAAAUCAAACAAAACCAACAUCAUUGGAGUUUUCUAACACAAAAACCUCCAAGCUUCUGGGAAUUCCUCAAGAUGAUAAGUCAUACAUGACUUUCACGGAACCAUCAGGAAAGACAGGGUAAUUAAACUCUCUGUACGUGCCAAACAACGGUUGGACUUUUAACCGUAAGUAAUGGAUUACAACCAACUUUUAACGGAUAGGUGCCAACAACAAUUGGACUUUUGACUGUAAGCAAUGGAUUACAACCAGCUUUUAACAGAUUUUGCCAACAACAAUUUGACUUUGACCGAAAGCAAUGGAACACAUCCAGCUUGCCAGCAACAACUGGACUUUGAUCGAAAGCAAUGGGUUAACCAGCUUUUAACGGAGUUUGCCAACAACAAUUGGACUUUGACUGUAAGCAAUGGAUUAUAACCAGCUUGCCAGCAACAACUGGACUUUGAUCGAAAGCAAUGGGUUACAACCAGCUUUUAACGGAGUUUGCCAACAACAAUUGGACUUUGACUGUAAGCAAUGGAUUACAACCAGCUUGCCAGCAACAACUGGACUUUGAUUGUAAGCAAUGGAUUACAACCAGCUUUUAACAAAGUUUGCCAACAACUAUUGGACUUUAACCAUAAGCAAUGGAUUACAACCAACUUUUAACAAAUUUUGCCAAUAACAAUUGGACUUUGACUGUAAGCAAUGGGUUACAACCAGCUUUUAACGGAUUUUGCCAAUAACAAUUGGACUUGAAAUGAUAUUGGCGACAACCAAACUUCAGAUACCAAUCACGAUUGUAUUCAUAAACAGAGUGACAGUGAUGUCAACGACAAUUGGGUUUAAAAUGAGUUCUAGUAACAACUGAGCUUGGAAUAAUGCUAGUGACAACUGGGUUUUAGGAGACACCAAUGAGUCUUGAAAUAAUUCCAGGGAGUGGCAUAAGGGUUCUGGAAGUGCGUCAGAACAAAAAUGACAUGUAUGGGAAUUCAUUAGAGAGUAAAAGAAACGAAUUCUGGAAAUGCAUCAGAAUUAUAAGUGAUAUUCUGGAAAUACAGCAGAAUACAGACACAUCCGGUAAUACAUCAAGGAGAUUCUGGAAAUACAUCAGAAUUCAAAACAAACAUAUUCGAGAAUACAUCUGAUAGGUGAGGAAACAUCUGGAAACAUAUCAGACAAGUUAUGGAAAUACAUCAAAAAACAAAGGAGUAAUCCGGAAAUUCAUCGGAUAAUCCAAAAAGGAACUGAACCUAAUGGAAAAUUUUAUGAUAUGUGCCAACUGGGUUGGACUUGAAAAUGACUGCGAAAACCGGAUGAUGGUUUAAGGGCACCAAAGAAAAACUGGAAUUAGAGGUUAGAGGAUAUAGGAUCGACAACAAGACCUGGGUCAAUGCAAAAUGAGCACGAAGUACAUUUCGGCUAUGCAUGAUUUGAAUUCUUUUAUGCAUGAUAUAUGAAUGAUCGUGAUUAUGAGAAUGCUGACACUUGAGUGGACUGGGAGCUGGUAAAGACUUUUUUAUGGAAGCUCAUGAUUCCUUAACACCGAGAACUCAACCAAAUAUUUUAUGAUAGAUGUUGUCAAAGGAGAAUUCUAUCCAGCUUGGCAGCCACAACUUAGCAAAUGGGAUCCUUUUAUAGGAUUAACGAAUCAUGCUAACAUAAUUUUCGGGCACUCGUCUUAAACUCGAUAGUUGUUGACGUAUGGCAGAAUUUGUUUGAGCAGUUUGAAAGCAUGAAGAAAGAGGUUUUUGCCCCUCUGUGGCUCCUCUUGCCCCAGUUUGUUGGGUCUUUGGAAAUGUUCACCUUGAAAGUGGGUUUGGAAACAACUUGCCAUGAGACUACCUCGAGAUGGCUUGCCUCAAUGUUUGGAUACCGCAAUGAUCUAAACUUGACUAACCAAAUGUUGGAAUGGUAGACUCUUGAUUGACUUUCCUUGGAUAGUUGGACUUACUGAGCUCUGAGGUGGCUUGCCCCGGUCUGAGUCUUGAAGCAAAUUACUCUUGGCGACGAUACCCUUAGGGUGAUUAGCUCGAAUUAACUGAUGCUCAAAGUGAUUUGGCCCUGACUAGACUUCUUUCACUUUAUCAAGUUCCUCAACUGUAUUUGGAAUUUCUUGAUGCUAAGUGUGACUCGCAAAUAAGAUUGUUCAUUCAAAAAUGGUAAUUUUAAUUCAAUGCUUAUGCAAAAAUUUGAAAUCAAAGUUUAUUGAUAUGAAUGGGUGGAAUACAGUGAACGAGUCAUUGAUAAGAACACAAUGUGAUCAAGUUCAUUCACAGUAUGCAAGUUGGUGCCAUCAAAUGAUUAACAAAAAUCGUUUGGAGUCAGGUUAACACAACCUUGUUGUAGUAUGCUUUCAGAAUAAACCCUGCCUCAAUUAGGUCUUUUAAGGGUUGUAACGUGGCCUGGUUCACGGUUUUUUUAAACAAAAGGAUAUAAGGCUCAAUUUUUUUUACCCACCCCUUCUUCUUGAUGAUCUCCAGUUCCUAUGUUCAGUUAAUUCAAUACACGCAUUCGACUUCGAAGGUGCGAAAGUGAAAAUGAGGAUUCAAGGUGAAAUUUUCUUGAAAUGACAGUCACCUUAUUUUAUUUUUGUUGAGGAUUUAAUUACCUCUUUCAAUUGAUUUUCUUUAUCCAUAAUUUUGCCUGGACCGCUUCUUUGAAGCUUUAGGUCCAUCGGGAUGCCCUAACUUUUGCCUAAGUCAUUUUGUGGUAUUUGACUUAGCGGGUUUUUUCUUUUUUUUAAGGUGUUGACUGCAACAUUAUUGGUGGAUGAGGAUCAACCAACACUAAUUUUAGCUUUUCUCAACUUCUUCGACACCUUAACAUGUGCGCGAAGGAUAACAUGUGGUUGAACCUAAUUGGAGGGCGUACAUAUGGACGAAUUUUUUUUGAAAGAUCGAAUGCACGGUCAAACUAUCUGAACACAACUACCCUGCCCCAGGUUAAGAUUAAGGGUUUUAGAUCCGAAAUAAACACCAACUUCUAGGCUCAAAGUGGUUGACUAUAGGGAUUAACUCCUUAUCUCUUCAGUGUUUGGGGAUUUGAAACAAUGCCUUACAUCAUCGCAAGGUUUUAUUCAAAAGCAUACCACAAUUUCGUUUUCAUCAUCCUCCUUCCAAUCUUUGUUAACACAACGGUUUGAUAAACAAAAGUGAAUGAGAGGAGUAUUUUUGUUUUUAACAUAAAUGAGAAACGAGUGAAUACGAAUGGAUCCAUUCAAAAGAUGCAUAAACAUUUCAUCAACCUUACCAAUUCAAAGAAAACAACAAUGCUUAAAAGUAAUUAACAAUCAACAUGCGAGGAAACUCCAAAAGAGAUGCUGAAACAACCAAAUGAUUUCCAUCUUCAAACUUGACCCAUUAACUUAGGGGGACACCCCUUGAGAUCUUCGCACUUAUCCGGCCGAUGGGUUAACGUUUACUAACAAGCUUCCUUCUUGAAAGACUAUGUACCUGUUGUCAAUCAACUAUUAUACUUUGGCUUUGAAAGCGUUGCAGUCUUCGGUUGAAUGCCCUUCUGAUCCAGCAUGAUAUCCACAUUGCACAUUUGGGUCAUACCCGGGUGAGUAAGGUUGUGGAACCGGCUUGAGAGACUUGGGAACCACCAACGAGUUUUGAAUUAGAGGUUGUAAGUGAGUAAGGUUGUGGAACCGGCUUGAGAGACUUGGGAACCACCAACGAGUUUUGAAUUAGAGGUUGUAGAAGUUGGCUAUAUGUCAUGAGGAUUGGAAAUCCAAGGCGAUAUCUCAAUGCUCUUACUAGGAAAUGAUGAUAUCUCACUAGCCACAUCCUUGACCUUUUCCUUGUGGUACAAAACCUUGAGGGGUUUCAGGGGUCCUUUCCCUUUCACAUUACUUGGCCCAGAAAUCAAGAUAUAUGUACCUGAGCCUUCCUCCUUCAAUGCUUCUUGAAUUUUCCUUAGACAUGGUUAUUUGUUCUAAACGCGUGUCAGGAAUCACUUUGCUGAUCAUGGACAAAGGAUGAAUGAGUUUUUUUUGUAUUUUUGGAAAAUGAUAUGCAAUGCAUGAUAACGAAUGCAGAUGCAAUGGUAUAUGAGUGGAUGCAAUGUAUUUUUUUUAUGUUUUGGUAUGCAAAUAAAAUGCAAUCCAGGUAGUUAGGAUCUAGGAUAAUGUGAGUAACUCAGAACAUCUUACUAGGUAGGCUCCUUAACAAAUAGUUCUAGGAUUUCUACCCAUAAACCCACUCACGAGAUAGUUUCUACAUUUUUGAUAAGGUUCCCAGAGUCAUGAACCAUAAUCGUAUCAACAUCAUGCAACAGGCUGGCCGUUUUACGACAAGAGUGACGAAAGGUCUCUUCUGAGCGGGGUUUUCAUGUUGGGUGCAAAAAGGAGAGGCCCUUGGAGUCCAUCAUUACACAACCACCAAAGCAUAAACUGGUUCUAAGAGGGGGUCCUAGAGUCAUGGACCCUUCAUGAAUCAACGUCAUGCAACAGGCUAGCUGUCUUAUAACGAGAUCUACAAACAGGUCUACUCUAGGGGAGUCUUCAUGCUAGACACACAAGGAGUGGCCCUUGGGGACUAACACUACACAACUUCCAAUUCUAAACUUAUGUGUUCUCACUUCUUUUUCUAAAGCUCGGGUGUAGAGCUUUAUUCAUGAUAUCAAAAUCCCAACACCCACACAUAGAUAUAUAUACAAAUAUAAAAAUAGGAUAAAACAAAGAUAAAGAAUGGAUAUAACAAAGGAAGAAAAAUAAACAGACAAAGCUAACACACAUACGAAAACUUAAUUGAACUAGGGUUGAUUCACUUAGGGAUGUUCCUGUCCCCAGCAGAGUUGCCAUCUGUCGCACCUCGAAAAAUGGGGAUACGACUUUAAGCGAAGCGCGACCGUACGCUCACAUUGAUGGACUGAACAGAGUCGCCACCGAACUUUAUUUAUUCCUAAAAAGGAAAGGGGAAAUAUCGAUAAAACCCAAGACAAAACGACAAUGAUUGUGGUCGUCGCAACCAAUAUUAGGGUUCGGGAGUCGGUUACGCAAGGGGAAGGUAUUAACACCCCUCACAUCCGUUGUAUUCAACGGGAACCGUUUAGUUAGUUUAGUUUUGAAUGUUAGCUUAUGUUAGUCUUCUCAAGUUAUAAUGAGGGAGAGAAAGAAUGGGAUCAAAAGAAAAGAGAAGAUGUUUUUGGUCUUUUGCAAUAAAGGGGACUAAACCUAAGUUUUUUAUUAGUGGGCCUGACAAGAUUUAUAAAUCCUGCUCCUACGUAUCUCAAUAGAGAAGUCAAGGCUUACGUAGUUCUGGGUAGAAAAUGUUUGUUUGUUGGUCAAUUUUAGCAAAAGCUAUAUUGUAUUAAUUGACGAAACAUUGUUUUACCCAAAACAGAUGAGGAGUGGACGUAUACCAUACAUGGAAUGGAUUUACAAAUCAUCAUUCGGAAAAACGUCACUUAUCUCGACUCAACAAUCGUGGCCAAAACAUUGUUUUGCAUCACCUUAAGAUAAUAUAUCUUUCGUUUAUGAAAAAGGUUUUCCUGAUUAAUCGCACAGCGGCGAGAAAAGAGUUUGAUUGGUUGGAUUUAUUUUGAGUAAUGGCGAGAACUUGGAUGAGCGAGAUAUCCAUCUCGAAUCCUAGUCUCAGGAGUGCAUGGUAUACACCAUAUUCCAUUUCCAUCUUAUUGACAAAAGUGUUUAAUAAAGAUUAAGUAUUUUUAGGUUUGAUCGAGAAAGGGGUUUGAAGAAACCACAUUGACAAUUUUAGACGAUGGCGAGAGCCAAAAUAGGCAAGGCAUCCACCUUGAAUCUUAAUCUCAGGAGUGCACGGUAUACACCAUGUUCCAUUUCCAUCUUUAUUGAAAAAAGUGUUGAGGUAGGAAUUAAGUAUUUUUUGAGUUUGAAAGACGAAUAUUUAAGAACAAGACAUAAGCCUUGAGAUCGAUAGUUCAGGGUUCCACCGGAAUGCUAGAUUCCAAUGGUCCUUUUUCAUUCGAAUUAUUUAGGAAAAUUAUUUAAGAUCGAUAGUUCAGGGUUCCACCGGAAUGCUAGAUUCCAAUGGUCCUUUUUCAUUCGAAUUAUUUAGGAAAAUUAUUUAAUGGACAACGAACACUUGAUGAGAAUCAAAUAUUCAAAGGGUUACGCUAGAAUGCUUGAUCCCAACGGCCCUUUAUUUUGUCCAAGUUAAUUAUUAAGUAUUUUAAGAAUGAAAGAAAAGAAUGAACGGUUAAUCCAAAACGCGUGGCUCAGGACUGAUCAUUCGAGGGUUCCCACCGGAAUGCAAGAUUCGAAUGGUCCUCUUCUUUCGUGUUUUUAAAAGGAAUUUAAUCGAGUUGUAAAGAUAGUUUAAAAAUAAAAUUAUAUUAUAGGGUUAAAAUUAAUUUUACAAUUUAUAUGUAUAUCGAAUUAAUUUUAUAUAUAUUAUUGAGUUCCCACCAGAAUGCUAGAUUCAAAUGGGAGGAAAUGAAAUUAAAUGUUGAAACUAUGGAAAGUUAGUGAAAUUUAAAUUGAAAAUUUUAGUGAAUUUGAAUGUGAUUAUUUAUAUGUGUAAAGGUAUGAACAUGGAUACCAAUAACCUAAUUAAAUUAACUAACACACAAAAAUCGACUAAUCGAAUAAAACCCAAUAUCGAAAAGUCAACCAUUAAUUAAAUCUAAAAGGUAAACAUUUAAAAAUAUAAACAACUAAAUAACGAUUAAAUUAAAUUAAUAAAAAUAUAAAAGUAAAAUAAAUAGUAGAAGUUAUAAAAAAUUUAAAUAAAAUAGUAAGCAUAACAAAUAGAAAUAUGAAGAUAUGUUAUUCCCAAGUAUCAAACCCCUCCUACUAAAGAGAGUGAAAUUGCUCUCUCUCCACUAGGCCACUUAUGGUCAUUUGUUACCUUAAUAACAACUUGAAUAUAUAAACCAGAAUAGAUUAAAAUAAAAAACUAAAAUGAGGUGGUCUGUUAAUGGACAACUAAUUAAAACGAUGGAGGAAUCCAAAAAGUAACCCUAGCCGCCUGGCUGUUGGGUUUCCAAAAGAGAGAUUAAUGGGUGGGGAACACAAAAUAGUAUAUUAACAAACACUAAUUAAUAAAAAGGUGCAAGGGAAGACUAAACAAUAUUAAGUUUUAAAUGCUUGUUUUUUAACAAAUAAAUAAAAGAACAGGAAGCGAGAGAGUGCAUAUCAGAUACAAAAAAUGUUCGUCUUCUUCACUAACGACAUCCUCCAUUCUCUCAAUCUCUCGACCUCAACCUCUCGUCAUCUCUUAAUCGCUCGUCAUCUCUCAAUCUCUCGUCAUCUCUCAAUCUCGACCUCAUUCAAUUUUUCAAUACCCUACUCUCACUCUAAAUGCACAAUCGUGACAUUCAAAGAACCAGCAAAGGAUGCUUACCUUUGUUGCUUGCUUCCAAGAACUCCCACGGCAGCUUUUCGGUGGAGGAUAUUAGUUUUUUUCGCUACAGCUCCCUCUUCUCUUCUAGGUUUUUUUCUGCCGUCUGAAAGAUUAGGGUUUUUUCGUGCUCUGAAAGAUUUAGGGUUUUUUCAUCGUCGCCAAGAUUUAGGGUUUUUUCAUCGUCCACUUCUCGCCUCCGCUUCGCUCCUUUUAUACUCAACACCUUAGGGUUUCGAGCUGGUUAUGGAGAUCCAAAAGGGUAUCUCCUGGAAGUGCUUUAAGGCGCUCAGAUUUUGGUCUGCCUUAUUUGACAUUUAAUUCGGAAACGGUAAUAUGAACCUACACUUUCUUGCUUCUAAUUUUGUCUUAAUUCUCUUUUGGGAUAUUUGUUGAAUUUUUUACUGCCUUGCUAAUUUACUUUGUUUUUACUGCAGUGAAUAUUGGUGAAAAUUAAAACUUCGGUUAUUUGCAAAGCUUUUCGAUUAUGAACACAGGUUGAGUGAACAAGGUAUUUCAUUAUGCAUGGUAGCUUAAUGACUGUUAUGGUUUGGGUUAUGCAGGUCUUGGAAGUACUGCAUUUGAGGUUAUGGCUGGUGUGAAGCGAGGGGAUAUAACCCUUUUUUCUGAAUUUCCAGUUUGUGAAACUCAACUUCAAUAGUUUUGGCUAUUUUGGCAUCAUCCGGGUCUGGCUCUGGUAUGUCUACAUAGAAAGAUCCUUGUCUCAUCAGCGGUGUUGAUUCCGCAGAGUUAGCUUGCUGCUUUAUGUCGUUAUAGAGUUGUUGAUGGAAUGUGUGAUUGAAGGAGAAACAGUUUUCGGUAAUUGCUGCAACUGCAUUAUGUCUCGAUGGCUUGGAAUCUUGUUUUUUGCAGAAGUGUGGGAGAGAUCCGUAGUCCAUUACCUUGAGUAAUUCGUCCUUGCCACAACCUUGCAGCACCUGGAUUUUCUUCCUUGUUCUUUCUUGCAAAAGAGGCUUUACAACCUUCCAACACGCGGAGAAUACAUAUGGUGCAUUAACGAUAUAGUAUGUGUCUGUCUUUUCCGGAUAGUUCAAGUCAUCUAUCGUAGAUAUAGCUGUCAAUAGCCUUUGAGGUAUCCAUGCCGGAUUUUACAAAUUACUCAUGCAUAGUUGGUUAGUUUAUAAGUUUCGUUAGUCAUGGGGAUGCUGGUUAACAGUUGUUGUAAUUGCAGGUUAGAGGGGUUUAAUGGAUACUGAGUUCUUAUUGAAUUUCUCAGUUUCACGCGCAGGUUAUACAUACAUUCGACGUAUGUGCGGUUUGAUUUGCUAAAGGCGGGAGGUCACGGUUUCAACGACACUAGUUUGUAUCGACG